rnacentral:rRNA from 1 species
CAUGUGUAUUUAACACGAAACCGCGUAUGGCUCAUUAUAACAGCUAAAAUUUACUUGAUUUUGACUUUUAUCCUACAUGGAUAACUGUGGUAAUUCUGGAGCUAAUACAUGCAUAAAGGAUGUUUCUUUAUUGAAACAUUGCGUAUAUUAGUAUUAAAACCAAGCAUUCUUCGGAAUGUUUUGUGUUGAAACUGAAUAUAUCUGCUGAUCGUAUGGUCUUGUACCGACGACAUGUCAUUCAAGUGUCUGGUCUAUCAACUUUCUAUAUAAGUAUAUAGUACUUAUAUGGUUUUGACGGAUAACGGGGUAUUAGGGUACGACUCCGGAGAAAAUGCCUGAGAAACGGCGUUUACAUCCAAGGAAGGCAGCAGGCGCGAAAAUUACCCACUCUCAGUACGAGGAGGUAGUGACGAGAAAUGACAAGAUCUAUUCCUUCGGGGAUGGAUCAUUGGAAUGGUUUGAUUUUAAAAUCAUUAAAGAGUAUCAAUGAGAGGGCAAGUCUGGUGCCAGCAGCCGCGGUAAUUCCAGCUCUCAUACUGCAUUGAAUUGUUGUUGCGGUUAAAAAGCUCGUAGUUGGAUCUGUACAUGAUAGGUUAGUUUAUUCUUUACGGAAUAUAACUAAUACUAAAUGUUUUUUGUUAGAUUUAUUUACGGGCCGUAAGGUUCGUAAGUUGUCUAACGAGUUUACUUUGAAUAAAUCAGAGUGCUCAAAACAGGCGUAAGCUUGUAUGGUUUUGCAUGGAAUAAUAGAACAUGACUAUGGUUCAUGUUUUAUUGGUUUUACUUACCAUAGUAAUGAUUAAAAGGAACAAACGGGGGCAUCCGUAUCGCAGGGCGAGAGGUGAAAUUCGUGGACCCUUGCGAGACGAACUACAGCGAAAGCAUUUGCCAAGAAUG